rnacentral:rRNA from 1 species
CCUACGGGGCGCAGCAGUGGGGGAUAUUGGACAAUGGGGGAAACCCUGAUCCAGCGACGCCGCGUGAGUGAAGAAGUAUUUCGGUAUCUAAAGCUCUAUACCCAGGGAAGAAAGCAGUGACGGUAACUGAGUCAGCCGCACCUUCCCCCCACGUGCACCCAGCCGCGCUCAUACCCCCCCCGCAAGCGUUAUCGGGAAUUACUGGGUGUAAAGCGCGCGUAGGCGGUUAAGCAAGUCUGACCCCAC